rnacentral:rRNA from 1 species
GUCCACGCUGUAAACGAUGUCGACUUGGAGGUUGUUCCCUUGAGGAGUGGCUUCCGGAGCUAACGCGUUAAGUCGACCGCCUGGGGAGUACGGCCGCAAGGUUAAACUCAAAUGAAUUGACGGGGCCCGCACAAGCGGUGGAGCAUGUGGUUUAAUUCGAUGCAACGCGAAGAACCUUACCUACUCUUGACAUCCACGGAACUUAGCAGAGAUGCUUUGGUGCCUUCGGGAACAGUGAGACAGGUGCUGCAUGGCUGUCGU